rnacentral:rRNA from 1 species
CCUACGGGAGGCAGCAGUGAGGAAUAUUGGUCAAUGGACGAGAGUCUGAACCAGCCAAGUAGCGUGAAGGAUGACUGCCCUAUGGGUUGUAAACUUCUUUUAUAUGGGAAUAAAACGUUCCACGUGUGGGAUUUUGUAUGUACCAUAUGAAUAAGGAUCGGCUAACUCCGUGCCAGCAGCCGCGGUAAUACGGAGGAUCCGAGCGUUAUCCGGAUUUAUUGGGUUUAAAGGGAGCGUAGGUGGAUUGUUAAGUCAGUUGUGAAAGUUUGCGGCUCAACCGUAAAAUUGCAGUUGAAACUGGCAGUCUUGAGUACAGUAGAGGUGGGCGGAAUUCGUGGUGUAGCGGUGAAAUGCUUAGAUAUCACGAAGAACUCAGAGUGCGAAGGCAGUUCACUGGACUGCAACUGACACUGAGGCUCGAAAGUGUGGGUAUCAAACAGGAUUAGAUACCCCUGUAGUC